UACCUGCAGCUCUAGUGGUGAUCGUUAUUAUUGGGCCUAAAACGUCCGUAGCCGGUUUAAUAAAUGCCUGGGUAAAUCGUAUAGCUUAACUAUACGAAUUCCGGGUAGACUGCUAAACUUGAGACCGGGAGAGGCUAGAGGUACUCCUGGGGUAGAGGUGAAAUUCUGUAAUCCUAGGGGGACCACCAGUGGCGAAGGCGUCUAGCCAGAACGGGUCUGACGGUGAGGGACGAAGCCCUGGGGCACAAACCGGAUUAGAUACCCGGGUAGUCCAGGGUGUAAGCGCUGCUUGCUUGAUGUUAGCUGGGCUCCGAGCCCGGCUAGUGUCGGAGAGAAGUUGUUAAGCCCACCGCCUGGGAAGUACGGUCGCAAGGCUGAAACUUAAAGGAAUUGGCGGGGGAGCACAGCAACGGGAGGAGCGUGCGGUUU
rnacentral:rRNA from 1 species